rnacentral:lncRNA from 1 species
AAAUACAGAAAAUUUUGGUUAUUGCUGGAUUUUAUUAGAUAAUUAUGUGAUGAUAAAUAGAAAUUUUGUGAUGAUUUUUCCUAUUUCUCGGAGCAUGAAAAAUAUAAAUAUUAAAAGUUAAAAAGAAACGGAAAACGCAGAAAAUCAACGCGCGAGGCAGGAGCGUACAAUUUCAGAAGAGAAAGCAUAUACCCGAGGAAGGAGAUGAUAAAUAGAAAGAUGCCGAGCGAACCCAGAAACCAGGUAGUGCCACGUGGAAUACUACCUGGCGUACAGAGCCAUCGCAUCUUUCCCUUUGCAAACUCACCCUUCUCUCUCUCUUUCGCCUAGCUCGCUCUCUCUCUCUCUCUCUCUACCCGUCUAUGGCGUUCCUUCUCCAUCCUUAUUCAUUGUUGUCAUCUUCGUCGUCUUCGUCUUCGUCUAUCAUCAUCACCAUCACCAUCACCAUCUCCAUAAUCACAGGACAUUUCUGUAACUUGCAUAUGUUUUUUUUGAAUUGCUAACAGAACACUUUCUCUGUCUCUAUUAUAGAUCGACCUUCCGUUUCCUAUUUUGGAUAGAAAAAGCCUGCAGAGGAGACAGAAAAAUAGGGAGACAUUGAAUUUGGGGGAAGGAUUUUUUUAAGCCGUUUUUGGAACUUUCUGCUGCGAUUUCAAGUACUUUCUUUUUCUUUUUCUUCGUUUUAGGGAAUUAGCUGAUUUGGUUAUUUCCUGUAUCGAUCUUCGCACGAGAAAUUUUUGGUUUUGAGCCAAUUAAUUAUGCCCAGUUUCCAUUUUGGAGCCUGAUAAAGGGCUUGGUAUUGUUAUUUUUAUUUAAUCUCUGAUUUAUUCUAGGUUUUUUUUUUGGCUGACAGUUAUCCUGGUGAGACUUUGAUGAAUUCUGGUGCUAUGCAUAGUUUCCAGGUGGAGAAUAGACUCAAUUGAUUUGUUAGAAUCACUGAUUUUAGUAUGAUUAUCGUCUUUGGGACUAAAUCCUGAUUUCAGAGAACUUUUAGAUGCUGCGUGGUGCGAGUGGAAAUUCCCAUGUGUAAUAAGGAAAUUGAUAAUCAGCAGCACCAUAAUCAGAGUGUCUCUUUGAUGGAUUCUCCUUCCGCAAACUCAACCUCUGCAACUGGUUCAAAUGAGGAAACUCCACGGGUUAAGUUCCUGUGUNNNNN